GAUGAACGCUGGCGGCGUGCCUAAUACAUGCAAGUCGAGCGCAAAGAUCAGGAGCUUGCUCCUGUGAUUUGAGCGGCGGACGGGUGAGUAACACGUAGGCAACCUACCCUUGAGAUUGGGAUAACUACCGGAAACGGUAGCUAAUACCGGAUACGACCUUUCCACACAAGUGGAAUUGUUAAAAGGCGGAUUUAUCUGCCGCUCAUGGAUGGGCCUGCGGUGCAUUAGCUAGUUGGUGAGAUAGUAGCUCACCAAGGCGACGAUGCAUAGCCGACCUGAGAGGGUGAUCGGCCACACUGGGACUGAGACACGGCCCAG
rnacentral:rRNA from 1 species